UACGGGGGGGGCAAGCGUUGUUCGGAAUUACUGGGCGUAAAGGGCGCGCAGGCGGCUUAUUUUGUCAGGCGUGAAAGCCCCGGGCUUAACCUGGGAACUGCGUUUGAUACGGAUGGGCUAGAGUUCGGGAGAGGAGAGUGGAAUUCCCAGUGUAGAGGUGAAAUUCGUAGAUAUUGGGAAGAACACCGGUGGCGAAGGCGGCUCUCUGGACCGAUACUGACGCUGAGGCGCGAAAGCGUGGGGAGCAAACAGG
rnacentral:rRNA from 1 species